rnacentral:rRNA from 1 species
UAGGGAAUCUUCCGCAAUGGGCGAAAGCCUGACGGAGCAACGCCGCGUGAGUGAUGAAGGUCUUCGGAUCGUAAAACUCUGUUAUUAGGGAAGAACAAAUGUGUAAGUAACUAUGCACGUCUUGACGGUACCUAAUCAGAAAGCCACGGCUAACUACGUGCCAGCAGCCGCGGUAAUACGUAGGUGGCAAGCGUUAUCCGGAAUUAUUGGGCGUAAAGUGCGCGUAGGCGGUUUUUUAAGUCUGAUGUGAAAGCCCACGGCUCAACCGUGGAGGGUCAUUGGAAACUGGAAAACUGGGGUGCAGAAGAGGAAAGUGGAAUUCCAUGUGUAGCGGUGAAAUGCGCAGAGAUAUGGGGGAACACCAGUGGCGAAGGCGACUUUCUGGUCUGUAACUGACGCUGAUGUGCGAAAGCGUGGGGAUCAAACAGG